rnacentral:rRNA from 1 species
CGUAGGUGGCAAGUGUUGUCCGGAUUUAUUGGGUUUAAAGGGUGCGUAGGCGGUCUUGUAAGUCAGUGGUGAAAUACGGCAGCUUAACUGUCGAGGUGCCAUUGAUACUGCAGGACUUGAGUACAGACGAGGUAGGCGGAAUUGACGGUGUAGCGGUGAAAUGCUUAGAUAUCGUCAAGAACACCGAUAGCGAAGGCAGCUUACUAGACUGUAACUGACGCUGAUGCACGAAAGUGUGGGGAUCAAACAGGAUUAGAUACCCUGGUAGUCCACACUGUAAACGAUGAUUACUCGAUGUUGGCGAUACACAGCCAGCGUCUUAGCGAAAGCGAUAAGUAAUCCACCUGGGGAGUACGCCGGCAACGGUG